rnacentral:lncRNA from 1 species
CAUCAGGGCUUGGUGAUAAUUAGAUUGUGAAGAAUGUGAUUUAGCUAAAAUGCAUAGGAAUAAUGUCAAGAUAUCUGGGAUUUAGGACCAAGACCCUAAGGAACAUGCUGGAACACCUGGAUGUGCUGGACAUGAAGGACAGCUACAGGAAAAUAGAAAAACAAAGGCAUGGAGGUUAAGAAUUAUAGACAUAAAAGUGACAUGACAAAGUAAGUGGCAUGAGCUUUAGAGCCAAACACUCUUUGAACUUGGAUACACAAACAGAAAAAAACACAUGGAUUCAAAUAACACGAAGUAACGAAAAUAUCUCUUCUUCCCUCAAGAAGUGGGAAACAGGUCCUGUGUUUUUGAAGUCUGAGCCCACCCUAACUUGGAGGAGACCAAUGAUAUUGAUGCCCUUGUUGCUGAUGAUUUUGAUAUCAUCUUUAAAAGAUGUUUAUUUUGAACUAAUUAUCGACUCAGUAUUACAAAAAUAGCUCAGAGAGGAACCAUGUACAUUUCACCCCAUUUCCCUCAAUGGUGG